rnacentral:rRNA from 1 species
CAGUAGCCGCGGUAACACGGAGGGUGCAAGCGUUAAUCGGAAUUACUGGGCGUAAAGCGCACGCAGGCGGUCUGUCAAGUCAGAUGUGAAAUCCCCGGGCUUAACCUGGGAACUGCAUUUGAAACUGGCAGGCUAGAGUCUUGUAGAGGGGGGUAGAAUUCCAGGUGUAGCGGUGAAAUGCGUAGAGAUCUGGAGGAAUACCGGUGGCGAAGGCGGCCCCCUGGACAAAGACUAACGCUCAGGUGCGAAAGCGUGGGGAGCAAACAGGAUUAGAUACCCGAGAAGUCCCUGUCUCUUAUAC